UUAUAUGUGACCACAUGAUAAACAUCAGCUUUCGAUUAAAUUUAAAAUUAUCAAAAUCGGUACACCCAGUAAAAAGUUAUUGCGGAUUUUCGAGAGUUUCUCUCGAUUUCUCUGGGAUCCCAUCAUCAGAUCCUGGUUUCCUUAUCAUGGUAUCAAACUAGGAAUAUCCCCUUUCCAACAAAAAAAAAAUUAUCAACAUCGGUACAUCCAGUAGAAAGUUAUGCGGUAUAAUACAACGUAGGUCGACGAAAAAAGCGUCAAGUAAAAACGCAUUAUUAGAUAUAGCUCGAAAAGUGGUUGUUAGAUCU
rnacentral:misc_RNA from 1 species